UGGGCAGCAAGCACAGCGAGGUCCCCCCCCCCCCAGGGCGAGCUCAUCCCCAGGCUGCCCUGCGGGGCACAGAGGGGCCUCUUCCAAGGAGAGUCAUGGGCUGAGGCCAAGCAGGAAACAGGCGGAGCCUGGGAGCAGGGAGGCUGUGAGCAAAGCUCAAGGGCGCCGUUUGGUUUUGGCACCGGGAGAGGAGCAUUCCGGAGGGAGCGAGCGAGACAGACCUGGAGCUCGUCCGGGGGCCGGGUCAAAAUGUCCCUGCACCGGUCCCCAGCCCCGCGGCAGGGCCCAGGCACAAGUGGGCAGGGCCCAGGCUGCUCCCCACAGGCCUGGAGUGGAGCUGGCAUCUUCCGGCUCAGCUGCGGCCGGGCGGGGCAGGAGCAGGCAGGGGCGACAGAGUCAGCCUGAAGAAGCGCGGUCGGACCGAGUGAGAUGGGGAGGUGCCAGGAGCCCCUGCCGUCCAGGGCUUGGGCCCUGCCCCCUGUGCCCCACCCAGUGAGGCCGAGAACUGCAAGAUAAACAAACUUCUUCUUUUUACAGCCAUUAAGUUUGUGGUCUUUGUGUGGCCCGAUUGUCAUCAGCCAAGGGUCCCUUUAUCGUCCAUCUGAAGCCAACAGCGUGGCCAUCACCCUGCGCUGAAUUACUACCCACAAGUCCUCGGUGUUCGAAAACAUCAUGCCUGGCAUGGGCUCUAAACAUGGUUUUAUCCACACCAUCUUGAUGAAGUUGAUUAGGGCUGGCUUGGCUUCCUCUUCCGGCCUGCCGGGCCUGAGCCCCCAGGCGAGUGCAGCCUGGACCACAGGGUCAGCCCCAGCUUCACUCUGCAGGGCCCCGAACCCUCCCAGGCUGUGCCCGCCCUCCUGACUUCCGCUGGGGACCCUGUGCCUGAGUCCUGGGUCCCCGCCUGGCCCUGGCCCCAGCCUGGCUGCUCCCACCCCACGCAGCGGGGCAGUGCGUGCCAGGCCAGGCCCGCGAACACCGCAGUGGGUGCAGCCGGGACUCAGGGACGGUUGUUUACGAGGCUCUGGAUGCUGCCUCACAGCACUGUGUUCCGAUUAGGAUCUGAUUGUUAAUUUUUAUGUCAAUAAUUAUCUAGUAACCAAUAAAAGUUUCCAUAAAACCAAAAUACCUGCAAAAGGUAUUUCAACAAUUACUAAA